UACGUAGGGGGCAAGCGUUGUCCGGAAUCAUUGGGCGUAAAGAGCGUGUAGGCGGCCCGAUAAGUCCGCUGUGAAAGUCCAGGGCUCAACCCUGGAAUGCCGGUGGAUACUGUCGGGCUCGAAUCCGGAAGAGGUGAGUGGAAUUCCUGGUGUAGCGGUGAAAUGCGCAGAUAUCAGGAGGAACACCGGUGGCGAAGGCGGCAUCCUGGACCGGCAUUGACGCUGAGGCGCGAAAGCCAGGGGAGCAAACGGG
rnacentral:rRNA from 1 species